rnacentral:rRNA from 1 species
AUUGAACGCUGGCGGCAUGCUUUACACAUGCAAGUCGAACGGUAACAGGUCUUCGGAUGCUGACGAGUGGCGAACGGGUGAGUAAUGUAUCGGAACGUGCCCAGUAGUGGGGGAUAACUACUCGAAAGAGUGGCUAAUACCGCAUGAGAACUGAGGUUGAAAGUGGGGGACCGCAAGGCCUCACGCUACCGGAGCGGCCGAUAUCAGAUUAGGUAGUUGGUGGGGUAAAGGCCUACCAAGCCUGCGAUCUGUAGCUGGUCUGAGAGGACGACCAGCCACACUGGGACUGAGACACGGCCCAGACGCCUACGGGAGGCAGCAGUGGGGAAUUUUGGACAAUGGGCGCAAGCCUGAUCCAGCAAUGCCGCGUGCAGGACGAAGGCCUUCGGGUUGUAAACUGCUUUUGUACGGAACGAAAAAGCCUCUUCUAAUACAGGGGGUGCAUGACGGUACUGUAAGAAUAAGCACCGGCUAACUACGUGCCAGCCGCCGCAGUAA